UACGUAGGGCGCAAGCGUUAUCCGGAAUUAUUGGGCGUAAAGAGCUCGUAGGCGGUUUGUCGCGUCUGCCGUGAAAGUCCGGGGCUCAACUCCGGAUCUGCGGUGGGUACGGGCAGACUAGAGUGAUGUAGGGGAGACUGGAAUUCCUGGUGUAGCGGUGAAAUGCGCAGAUAUCAGGAGGAACACCGAUGGCGAAGGCAGGUCUCUGGGCAUUAACUGACGCUGAGGAGCGAAAAGCAUGGGGGAGCGAACAGGA
rnacentral:rRNA from 1 species